rnacentral:rRNA from 1 species
CAGCAGCCGCGGUAAUACGUAGGUGGCAAGCGUUGUCCGGAAUUAUUGGGCGUAAAGGGCUCGCAGGCGGUUUCUUAAGUCUGAUGUGAAAGCCCCCGGCUCAACCGAGGAGGGUCAUUGGAAACUGGGAAACUUGAGUGCAGAAGAGGAGGGUGGAAUUCCACGUGUAGCGGUGAAAUGCGUAGAGAUGUGGAGGAACACCAGUGGCGAAGGCGACUCUCUGGUCUGUAACUGACGCUGAGGAGCGAAAGCGUGGGGAGCGAACAGGAUUAGAUACCCCCGUAGUCCCUGUCUCUUAUAC